rnacentral:rRNA from 1 species
GUCGAGGGGUAUUGUUCUUCGGAAUGAGAGACCGGCGCACGGGUGCGUAACUCGUAUGCAAUCUACCUUUUACAGAGGGAUAGCCCAGAGAAAUUUGGAUUAAUACCUCAUAGUAUAUAGAGUUGGCAUCAACACUAUAUUAAAGUCACAACGGUAAAAGAUGAGCAUGCGUCCCAUUAGCUAGUUGGUAAGGUGACGGCUUACCAAGGCGACGAUGGGUAGGGGUCCUGAGAGGGAGAUCCCCCACACUGGUACUGAGACACGGACCAGACUCCUACGGGAGGCAGCAGUGAGGAAUAUUGGUCAAUGGGCGCAAGCCUGAACCAGCCAUGCCGCGUGCAGGAUGACGGUCCUAUGGAUUGUAAACUGCUUUUGUACGGGAAGAAACAGCGAUUCGUGAAUCGCCUUGACGGUACCGUAAGAAUAAGGAUCGGCUAACUCCGUGCCAGCAGCCGCGGUAAUACGGAGGAUCCAAGCGUUAUCCGGAAUCAUUGGGUUUAAAGGGUCCGUAGGCGGUUUGGUAAGUCAGUGGUGAAAGCCCAUCGCUCAACGGUGGAACGGCCAUUGAUACUGCCAGACUUGAAUUAUUAGGAAGUAACUAGAAUAUGUAGUGUAGCGGUGAAAUGCUUAGAGAUUACAUGGAAUACCAAUUGCGAAGGCAGGUUACUACUAAUGGAUUGACGCUGAUGGACGAAAGCGUGGGUAGCGAACAGGAUUAGAUACCCUGGUAGUCCACGCCGUAAACGAUGGAUACUAGCUGUUGGGAGCAAUCUCAGUGGCUAAGCGAAAGUGAUAAGUAUCCCACCUGGGGAGUACGUUCGCAAGAAUGAAACUCAAAGGAAUUGAC